rnacentral:tRNA from 1 species
GGAUUGUAGUUCAGUGGUAGAGUGCUUGCCUAGCAUGUGUGAGGCACUGGGUUUGAUUCUCAGCACCA